rnacentral:rRNA from 1 species
UGGGGAAUAUUGGACAAUGGGGGAAACCCUGAUCCAGCAAUGCCGCGUGAGUGAAGAAGGCCUUAGGGUUGUAAAGCUCUUUCAAUAGGGAAGAUGAUGACGGUACCUAUAGAAGAAGCCCCGGCUAAAUCCGUGCCAGCAGCCGCGGUAAGACGGGUGGGGCUAGCGUUGUUCGGAAUUACUGGGCGUAAAGGGCGCGUAGGCGGCCAAUUAAGUUAGACGUGAAAGCCUUGGGCUUAACCCAAGAAUUGCGUUUAAUACUGGUUGGCUAGAGUUUGGUAGAGGAAAGCGGAAUUCCUAGUGUAGAGGUGAAAUUCGUAGAUAUUAGGAAGAACACCAGAGGCGAAGGCGGCUUUCUGGACCAACACUGACGCUGAGGCGCGAAAGCGUGGGGAGCAAAC